AUACUAGGGAAAGCAUUGGGUGGAGGAGUUUUUCCUGUGAGUGCAGUUCUUGCAGACAAGGAUGUAAUGCUUUGUAUAAAACCAGGAGAGCAUGGAAGUACCUUUGGCGGGAAUCCAUUGGCCAGUGCUGAACUUCUUAAAUCCUAUGAUUAUAAAGUUUUACCUAAAGGAGCUAAAGCUACUGUCUCUCUAUGGUUCAGUUGCAUUUGAUGAAGAUUUUGAAGCUCAACUAGC